AGAAAAGAAUGCCCCCACCUUUCACGCGUCUCUCCUUCCUCCACAUCAUUCCUGAUCUGCCUCUUCUGGGAGCUAGUUGGGCCCAUGCAAAAAUUGCUAAGGGUGGCUCUGCCUAGUUCCACCCCCAAAUCCACAGCACUCCCAACUAUAUAUUGUUCAUAUGGAAGGGCUUUUGCAGGUAUUGGUGAAGGAGCAUGAGACAGCCUCACUGGCCCCUCCACAGGCUGUUUGUUUCUUCUUUGCUCCUUCCUACACCAUCCAGAGCAGACGAGCACCUAGCACGAUAUAAGUGAAUGAAAUGGAGGACUGGAAAUUUGUGUCCAACACUGAUUGAGUCUUUGCUACUGAAAAUGCCAUGGUGAUCGAUGUGAUAUAAACCUAAUUAAUAAAGAGAAAAUUACAAUCUCAUGGAUUUCUAGGAUUUAGAAUAAAAUAAUAAUGUUCCUAUUGCUAACACCUGGAUUACAUACAUACUUCUUGCUCAACUGAGCUCCAUAAACAUUAA